rnacentral:lncRNA from 1 species
GAGCAGUGAUUUUUCGAUCUGCCUUUAUCAUUGCAUCCACAUUAGCAACUAAAGCUGCUAUUACCUCCUCUUUCCCAGAAUCACCGGGAGGGAUAGGUACAGCACCAGCGACUCCUUGUUUCAGGUCAUCUUCAACCUGCAACAAGCAUUUUGAAAUGAUGAGGCAGAAAAGAUAUGGAUAUUCCAAAAGAGAAUCCAGAUAUGGAUGUUUCACAAGUACCAUAAUCUACUGAAAAUGUUUUGGUGUUUUUGGGGAGGUGGGGGGAAGAACUUACUUGAGAGCGCAACAACUUGAUAUCAUCUUGCGUUUCUGCAGUAUCAUAAGUCACAGACAAAUGCUUUCCAACAUUGUCACGAGCAUAUGGAAAGAGAACCUCAGAAACAAAUGAUAUGGGAGUAGUAGUCCCUUCAAUGUCAAGUACAAUGCAACGCUGCAACCAUAUCAAGAAUUAAAAAGUAUUUCUGGCAAUGUAAAGUAUAAUUCUAAAUUUCUUGAAUUGGCCAACCCCAAAGACACAGACAGUCUUCAGAGCCAGUCUGGUUUUUACUUCUAGAAGAGAAGAAGAGUUAUUGAUGAGUCCAAAACCUCGAGAGGCCUCUUAAAAGUUAGAGAAGAUAAAAUUCUUACUGGGAAUAGGCCAGAACCAUAACCUGAGCCUUCAGUCACUGCCUUUGCAGAUGUAUUUACAUUGCCAUUACUUCCAAAACCUAACUUGAAAUUACGAGUUGGACCAUGGUUUGGAGUAGACCAGUCCAGGCCCAGUUGAUGAAGUUUGAUAGCAGCAUCAAAGAGAUAAUGAUAACAUUCAGCCUGAUGAAUAUGGAACCAAGUAAGAGAAAGAAAGAAUACACAUGUUAUAUUUCUAUAACUUAUAUAUGGACACGGGAAAUCAAGUUACUACUUUCACCAUAAAGAAUACAUCAAUAAAUAUGCUCAAGAAGGUAAGAGGGAUGGACUGCUUAUGAGGAAGUCAAGACACCUAUCAUUAGCAAUAAAGAAAGCCUUGAUCAUUCUGAACAUCAAAUGCCUACACUUAUUUAAAAAUUGAUGUUUCAUGUAUGCAAACAAAGCUGUUACAGCCAAUGUUCCUUCUAGAAGGGAAGUAUUAAAGUAUAGAGUUGAACAAGUUAAAAGUACAGAGGCAAGAAGUGAGUAAUUGUAAUACUCAAUGGAAUCUUCUCAGUUUUUGGACACACUCAACGAAAAGUUUAACGUGAUAAUUAACACAGGAAAAGGUUGAUGGCCUAACUUUGUUAUCUAUAAUAGUAAACUUCAUAGAAAAAUUGACAGAAGGGAAAAAGAAAAAUGAACAAAAAAAAUCCUAGUAAAAUUUAGCACAAAAGAUCAAUUUGCUUCAAAUCCAUUAAUAAAUAUUGGAAACCUGAGUUUUAGCAUUGAUCCAGGAGUCUCCCCAAACAUAUAUGCCAUGAUUACGAACAAGCACAGCUGUUGCUUUUGGAUAGGCAUCUAUCUGGAAAUCCAGAAAGGGAAAUCCAAUCAGUCUAUUGAAAAAUUUUACAUGGAAAUGAAGAAUAUUGUUGGAAAAAUAAUUAAAAGCAAACCAACUCAUAGUGAGGGCAGGUUUCUCUGCGAUCAACUAAAGAUAUUCUCACAGAAGAAACAUAUGUUAUUGACCGGUGAGAUACGCUGAUUAUAUAUACAGAUAUUUGCACACACAUAUCAAGUACAAUGAGAAAGAAAUGUCAGAAUGGUUACUAAGGUAACCAUUUAUUGUAAAACCAAUUGCCUAAGAAGCCAUCCUAGGAUAGGGCCAUUGACAGGUUCCAAUCCAUAGGAAAACUAAACGUCCCUAUUUGCAGUGUCAUGUAAACUCAAUAUAUAAGAUGAGAAAUUGUUGUUAUAAUCACGAUGCAGAACUGAAUGUAACAAACUAAACAUACUGCUUUGGCAAGAGAAUCAGUGAGCUCAUUUUCAUAAGCCGUGUUCUCUAUAAUUGGAACCACGAGUUCAUCAUAGUAACCAUGCCCUUUGAUUCCUUUUAUCAUCUCCAUAUGAGUUAUCUGUAAGUUGCAAAAAGCACAAGCAAAUAAAAACAUAAAAGAGGCAACAUUAUGAAUUGAUGAAUGCAUUUAUAUAUGCUAAAGAGUGUAAUCACUCAUCAAUUUAUGAUCUGGUCUUUUCCAGCACAGGAACAGCUCCUUUGUAAGACGCUUAACAUCACCAUCUUUUUAAGUACUUUAUCAGAACAAUUAGUUGAUUCUUUGGAAAUACAGUGAUGGCAUAAACCUGAGUUGAUAUCAUUGAGAUUAAUCAGUGCACUACUGAGAAAGUAAAAUAUGCGCGUCAAAAGUACCAUAUUCUGGACAUUGUCCUCACAUAUGUGCAUAACUCAUGCUUUCUAACCCUUUCACAAAGGAUUCCACAAGUUCCUUGACAAGACAGUUCAUCAGCAAAACAAACCUUGCCAAACAACAUCAGAAGGGAAGAGGUGGGAUGGGGAGGCAUGGAUUGUAGGAGAAGAGAACAUAAAGAUGCUACAAUGAAGAAAGGAACAUGAGGGGAAAAAAUGCAGAAAAAAAAAAAAAGAAAAUUGUACAGACUUACACGAAAUUCUUUUGACAUCGGAUUGAUCAUUGUCACAAGGCAAGAUUCUAUCCCAUGGCUGUGGAUAACAGCCCCUGCAUCACGUUUCUCAUAUGCCUGAAUGACAAAGAAAACAAGUGCUAUUGCCACUUUAUAAGGAAAUUAAAAUAACCCAAACAGAAAUAUGAAGAAAGGUUAUCCUAAUGAAAAUAAACCAACUAUAAUUGAAAAAAUACAUAUUUACUAAGCAUACUUCCCAUAACUCAGGUCUUUAUAAAGAUUGAGAAAAAGUCAUACACAAACUGGGCAUUAAAUAACUGUUUUUAACUAAACCAGGACAAAUACCUAUGGUUUUAGUCCGCAUAUUCUUUUUCUUCUUUUUCCUCACUGAAUCACCAAUGCAAACGCAUGGAAGGUAAAUGAGGAAGUAAGUCAAGCAAUCAUUCAUUAAUUGGAGCACAAAGAAACUGCAGAUUAGAGGAUUGUCUACGACCAGUUAGCACAAACUAUUUUUCACUCUAGGAUCAUGAUGAUGACGUGUUCAUCAAACAUCAGAUAACAUCAAUGCUCAUUUACCAUAAAUUUUCACACUUCAAGCGCAGGCAGAGCAAAAGGCUUAAAACCAUAGCUUAUGCUCCCAUUAUUAUCACAAUAAUCAAAUACAAAUAGGAGAUAUUAACGUGCGCACAUCAAAUUACACCAAUAGAGUGGCCCUAUUCAAGUUUAAAUUGCUUUCACAGCAAAUCAAGCUUCGUACUGACCUAUCAAUAUUGAAAUGAAGAUGAAUAUUAACUAAAUAAUACCUUCAUGAAAAGAGGAGCACAAUCUGAACACUUGGGAGGCUUAUGUGGGUACGGUUUUGGAGAUGGUGAAGACAAGAUAGUCCCAUUUCCAGAUAACACAUACAUGUCCUCUUGUUCCAUUCUCUCCUUCUGCACACCUAUUCGCAUGCCAAUCCCAACACACAGCGGGAUUAAAUUGUGUAACAAAAGGAUAAAGAAAAAAAAGAGGAAAUAUACGUAGACCUUAAUAGACCAAAUGGCAAAAGUAAGAAUUGAGCUAUAGGAUUUAACUUAUCAAAAACACAUAAACAGAACACAGAACGUCAGAAUCACACAGCUGGGCUAAAAAUAAAGCAUACCCAGAUAUCAAAGACCUACCCAGGUAUUAAGUCAAGAAAAGGAAAAACAAAAAAAUAAGAUAAUGAGAAAUGAAGCAUGCACAAGUAAAAUGGCUCAAAAGAAAUACCCAAGAAACCAAUCAAAUAGCUCAAAUGAAUACAAGAAAUACAUAGUAACAGACAAAUAACCAAAUAAACAUCGCUAAGCAAUACAAAGUAAAUAAAAAAUAUAAACUUGACCAACUGAAGUUAAUAAAAGAAAAAAAUAAACUUUGACUAGCUAAAGUAAAUCAAAAAACAAACUUUCACCAACCCAACUCUAAAAACACAAAAUUGAUGCAUAAAAUAAAAAUAUACCCAGAAAGCAAUACAAGUAAAAGGGUAUGAAAAGAGUGAGUAAAGGGUAGAGAGUAGAGACCAGAAGGUGACAUCAGGAUGAGCUGUUGAGGUUUAGGGAUGGAGUCAUCAUGGACCUUGACGGUGAUGCUGCCACCUGUCCCAGAAACCCAUCCAAGGGUGUAGAAUUGACGGCAGAGCUCCGAUAUCAACACCCUCGUCUCCUUCACCGCUUUGCCCUCCAAAUAAGCCUGCGUAUGCGUUGCUGCAGCUGCUCCUCCUCCGUUCACUGCCAACGUUGCCAUUUGCUUUGCUCUUGAUGGGAAGCUGUUCUCUUUUCGAGCUUUCUAAUUGUAAUGACUACUAAUGGCAACUGAUUGAUGAUGAAUCUAAUUCUGUUUCUGCUCUAUAAAAUAAUCUUUUUGGGACUCGACUAGCUUACAGAAUCUGUAAGGUACAGACUGCAGCAUCAGCCGUUGGAUGUGGAGUGAGAAACUGAACAAUAGAAAAUCGGAUGGUGGGAUGACGGGAGAUGUUUGUUACAGAAUCUGUACCAUAGACAGGUCCAUCUUUUUGUUAUAAAAGAGACACCGGCGAUGUUCGUGUGUGACUGGUAUUGUUUGUUUGAUUCUGUUAAGGUUUAAAAAAUAAUAAUAAUAAUAAUAAUGCACAUUUAUUGUGAUGAAAGUUAUUUUGUGAUUGCGGUAAUAACGUCCGAUCCUUAAUCUUUAUGAUUUAUCAAAUUAUGAUACAAUUUUCCAUAUGUAUCAAAUAGGUCCCUAACCAACAACCAGUAUUAACCAAUUCCCACCCAAAAAUUUCAGAUGAUAUAUUCCGUACCUCGUUGAAUCAAUUAAAUAUAUAAAUUCAAGUUCAAAAUUAAUUUUAAAAUCACACAUAUUUCAUUCAUUUAUAAUUUAUUAGUCCAGUUGCUUGACUUGGAAUCCAUUAAAACAAGGUCUAAUAUCUAAUUUAAAAUUUGAUCUAGUUUAGUCCAAAUGUGUAACUUAAUAUUAAAAAUUGAUCAAAAUUAAAUCUAUUAUUAAAAAGUAAAAUAAAAUUAUCUAAAAUUAUAUAUUUGCUCUUCAAUAUUUAAGAUUUCACUGUUUUUUAAAAAAAUUGAUUUCUCAAGGUGCAAUCAUAAAUUUUGCCAUUUACUGAUAUGAAUUUUUAGUUACACUAUUGCCAUAAUAGGCUUAGGUUGCGUUUGUUUCUUCAUUUAAAAUUUGAAUAGGUCUAAAUUUAGCUGAAGUCUGAAUAAGUAUGGAUGAAAAUGUCCAAAUAACAUAUUUAUUUUUUCUUUUUUAACAUUUGAAAAAAAUUUUAAAAACUAGUAGUUUGACAUAAAUAUCUUUUAAGUGGUGUAUAUAUUUGUUGUUCACAAUUUAUAAUUUUCACAGUUUGAUUAGUUUGGUAGCAUUUAAAAAAAUAUCAUCAUUGUUGAUCUUAAUUUAAUUUUGUAAUAAAAGAUAUAAUUAUAACAUCACAAUGAACAUAAUUUGAUUUGUUCAAUAUUUCAGUUAAAUUAAUGUUAUCAUGUGAAUAAAAAUUUAAAGCAAUUAAAAAAAUAACUUCAAGAAUAAUACAAAAAUAUUAGGUUUAUACAUAAUAUUAGAAAUACAUGAAUUGUUAAGGGUAUUUAGACUUAAGAUAAAAGUUGACUUUUUUCUAUUAAGAUAAAAUUAUCUGAUAAUAAAUGAUAAGUUAAAAAAAAAUCUAAAAUAAAUAAAUGUCUGAAAAAAAGUUAAAUUCAAUAAACAACACCUUAGUCCAAUAUUGAAAUAACCUCUAAAUCCCCUUUAUAAUUAAUAUUUAUUUUCCGUAAACUAUUGAUUAUCAAAAUCUAUUGGAUAAUGAUCAAUUAAUAGGAGCACACAGAAACUAAGAAUCACAGGAUUAUCGCGAACCUGUUCAUUCAAACAUCGGAUAACAUCACUUGAAUUCCACAGUAAAUUCUACGUAUCACGUGCAUUUGCAAUCAAAUGCUGAAACUAAAAGCAACAACAUAAGCUCCCAUAAUGAACUCCUCAUGUUUUAUUCACUGGCAGUAAUAGACAACCUUAUUCAAAUUCAAAUGUCCUGUAUAGCUACUUGAUAUCCAUACAGACAGACUUAUUGAUAUCGAAAUGCUGAUAAAGAGUAAUUGAUAACAUCAAGAAAAGAGGUGUACAGGCUUACGUACGUGGGUAUGGCUUCCGAGAUGAUGGCGAAGACAAAAUAGUCCCAUCUCCAGAUAACACACGCGUGUUCUCUGGUUCCAUGCAUUCUCUCCUUCUCCACACCUACACACAUGCCAACACAAACAUACAGUUAAUGGAGUCAGUAAAUUUAACAUAAUCAGAAAUCAAACAAUGCGCAAUGGAGCCAGUAAAUUUGACAUAAAGAGAUUACCCAGAUACUGAAUCGAAUCACACAGCUUAUAUGAAUACAGGACAUGGCAUGUGGUUAAGUGGAUGGACCAUGGACUGUGUGCAUGAAUCAUAGAUUUCAUAAGCCAAAUUUUAUGGUUUGAUACUUUGAUUGAGUUGUACCAGACAUUUUACUUUUUGACUUUCGUUUUUUUUCAACUUUGUUAUGUUAAAAUUAAUAGCUUACCAAGGAGUAAACAAAAUAAAUAAUAAGACAAAAAAAUAAUAUCUCAGAAGUGUAAAAGCUUUUAUUAACUAAUCUUCAUUAGAAUAUAAUUAUUUCAAGAAGAGUUUUUAAUAAAAUUUUAUUACAUAAAUUAAUUUUUAAUAAAGAGUAACCAUGCGUUUAAUAAAUUUAUAUUUUAAAUGGGAUGUCACAAAUCAUGACUUCAUAGGGUACAAUUAUUAUUAUUAUUAUUAUUUUCAGAGGAUAGUUUAUAAAGAGAUAAAUUAAUUUAAGCUGAAGUAACAGAAUUAAAAUUAUCUCCUUAUCUAUUUUAAGAUCUCCUGAGCUCUUCUAAAAUCUUGUGCCAUGAUAACUCGAAAAAACAAAACGAUUGAACCUUGGGAUAUAAUUAAUAAAGGGUAUAAAGCUAGGGGUGGGCACGGUUUGGUUCGGUUCGAAAUUAAGUAGAACCGAUUUAAAUCGGUUAUUUUAUAAAAAGAACCGAAUAAGAACCGAACUAAAAAAGAACCGAACUCAAACGGUUUUUUUCGGUUCGGUUCGGUUUUUUUGGUUCUUGGCCUAUUUUGAAUUUUCAAAUUUUUAGCCCAUUGAGCUUCAAAAAUGUAAUAAUUUUUUUCAACAAGUUCAUCCUAAUUUCAUUACAAAUAUUAACAAUAAAUACAAAGUAUUCAAAACACAUUUUAUCAAUAAUAUCUUACUAACUAUUAAUAAAUAAUUAAAUAAACAAUCUAUAUAAUAAGAUGCUAGUUUAAAAAAAAAAUAAAGAAAACUUACUGGUAAGCAACAUCAAUCAACUAUCAUUUACUCCUCAGCUAUUUGCUAUUGUUCUUGAGAUUGCAUUAGCCUAAAAAUUCUUCAAGAAAUUGAAAUUUACGAAAUUUACAAAAUUUUUUUAUAUUUGAUUUUAGGGUUCAUUUUGGGAAAUAAAAAUUUACGAAAUUGUAAUACUAACAUAUAUAUAUACUCUGAUUGUGUGUAUGCAAGUUUAUGUUAGCUAUCUUACACAAUCAGUUAAAAAUUAACACAUAUUUAAUUUAAUAAAAUUUAAAAAUAAUUCGAUUUUUCGGUUCGGUUUUUCGGUUCAGUUAAAUGAACCGAAUACCGAACCGACAUUUCGGUUUUUUUAUAAAUUGUACCAUUCAGUUUUUUUUUUAUAAAAAAAAAACCGUACCGAAUUACAAAAAACCAUCGGUUCCGUUCGGUUUUUUUAAGACUACGGUUUUUUUGCCCACCCCUAUAUAAAGCUCCAAUAUAUUUCAGUUAACGUAUUAUAUCUUAGUUUUAUAUAAUUUAAUUCGAAUGAAAGAAUAUAAUAGUGAAGAGCUCAGUUUGACAAUUUCUUGAUCAAGUGGUAUGUAUCGUCUUAUUAAUGACUAGCUUGUAGCUAGCAAAUGCAGUGUUUAUUAAUCGAAUCAAAAUAAAACAGUAAAAAGGGUGCAAACCACGCAAUGGAGGAAAAAUAAAUAACCAUUGUAAUAUUCUAGACAAAUCUUAUGUCGACAAAGCAUGGAAGAGAUACUGGGUUUGUAAGGGGUGAUCCACACCUUAAUUGGUCAGACGCAUUUUAAGGUGUAUUGGCGCCCCAGAAAUAAAAUUGUGCGGGUCUUGUUAAGGCCUAAAGUGGAUAAUAUCUUAUUAGGUCUGGGUUAGAUCAUGACAGACGGUAUCAGAGCGGCUUCACGUGUCCUCUUGGACGAUGGUGAGACAAACCUCAACAAGGACGCCCUCUUGAACAAUGGUGAGACAAACCUUAGCAAGGAUGAUGAGUUACUAAGGGGAGUGUAUAUAACACCCUGGACAAAUUUCAUGUCGAGAGAUGCUGGAUUUGUAAGGGGUGAUUCACACUUUAAUUGACAAAGACGUGUUUGGAGGUGCGUGGUACCUCCAGAAACAAAAUGGUGCAGGUCUUAUUAACGUUCAAAGCGGACAAUAUCAUGUCACGUCUGACUUGGAUCAUGACAGCCAUUGUUGGAGCUACUAUUAGUGGGCUGGUGGUUGAAGUAGCGUUGGAGUAUAGAUGAAAGCUAUAAAGAUUACAAAGCUACAAUUUUCAAAUAGUGUUGGAAUAAAUUCAUCAAUCUUAUAUCUGCAAGUCAUUUUCAACUGAUUAAGUACAUUAUAUUCAAUACCAAUUAGCUUGUUGGUAUUGAAUAUAAUUGAUUAAUUUCUGAUGAAAACUCUCUAAGUCAUGGAGGUUUUGGAAUGGUAAUCAAAAUAAAAGAUUGGUUUUAACAUGAAAUGGAUAUGUUUAUAUAUCUCUGACUUAUGAAAUGAUUUAAUAUGGUAAAAUAAGUAAUGAUCAAAUAUGGUAAAAUCUCAAGUACGAAGUGGUUUAUAUAGGUCGGGAUGAAUUAGUUAACGUAAAAAGUGGAUGUCGAAUACCAAAGAGCAUUAUUCAUGUUCAAGUUUUAACAACACCAUUGUGACUGCUGCAAAUGUCAGGGGUCGGGUAAUUUUUUAGUCCUCAGUUGGUGCUUUUGGAUUCAGGAGUUACUCUUACUUUUAGGGUAAACUAAAGAUUGUAGUAGAAGAUAGACACCAAAAAAAAAAAAUAUAUAUAUAUAUAUAGAAAACCACCAUUCAACUCGUGAGGUUCACAAAGUGGAAUUCGUAACUCUCCGGGUGAGGAGAUUUGGUGAUGUUCCAAGCAUUAGCAAUAACAUCUUUUAUAUUUUGACAUUAAGCUUCCAAAGUUAAAAUUAUUUCAAAAUUUGUGGAAAGUGGUUUAGGCAGAAGCUUCCUUUGGCAACUAAGGAAUGGUACCAAAACAUAGUUUCCUCCAACAGUUGAAUUCAUGUUUAGUCUCAACAUUGCCGAAAAAGUUCUACAACAAAGUUGAAGAGGGUAAGAAAACCAAAAGCUUCUGCUUUUGCGAUCAAAGGCAUUUUGGUUACACUUAAUGGUGAGACUAGUAGCACACUUCUAAAGACAGAUUUGGUCAUAUUGGCUACAGGUUCAGGGUGAUAAGAAGCUCAAAGACACUAUUGUGUCCCAAACUUUUCAAGAUUACAUAGCAGGCUCCAAGCUCGCCAAAUGAAACUCUGACACUCUACAGGUAAUUAGCAGAUUAUUAAUAUUAUCUUAACUUAUAAAAGUAUUACAAAAGCUGUGUUUGUACAUUUUAUUUGUAUUUUGCUGCCAAAGUCUUAAAUAGACAAGCAAAGACGUGGGUUUUUCUUGUCACAAUUGAUUGGCUGCCGAAGUCUCUAACUCAUACCCACUACUUCUGAAUCUCAAAAUUGUUUUUCCGAAAAAUGUUGAAUUCUAGAAAAGCAAUUAAUAGGGUUCGUAUUUCAUGGGAGUAACGCUUGCUAAAGUUUAAGAGAAAUUCACACACUCGAGGUAUCAGCAAAAGAUAUUUCCACCCAAUAUGCACAAAACAAAAUCGAGGAACCCUGGACUCUUUUAAAAUAUCAUGAGACUAAAAGAGAGAGUUCACAACAAGAGUAAUCACAUUAUUUCUUCUUAUAGUUUAACUACACCUAUCUCAUUUGAAAUGAUUAUGGAAGCAUUUCUGCUUUUAGAUUUCCGUGAAAGAAUUGAUUGUCUUGAAGCCAUGGUUCUCUGGAAGAGGUCCAUUUCCAGGCCGGAUAGAAAUUACCACCUCCAAACCUAAAUGAUCGAACAAAACCAAAAUAAAUAUCAACAUCGAGUGAUAAAAUGAACAUGAAACUACCUUCUCUCUAAGGACUAAAGCUAGAAGUUCAUAGGGAUUGCAAAAGUACCCUAAAGUGGAAAAGAAAGGCUGCUUUCAUGACAGCAUUAUGUAAGACUGUUUUCAAAAUGGUUUCUUAUAUGAUAGGAACAACAUUUGAUAAAGUUUAAUUAAUAUCAUGACUCAAAAUUCAAAAGGAAGAUAAAUUAAAAACGGUGCAUCUUGACUUCUUAAUUAUUUAAGUUGCUUAGGUAUGUGUACAGUGCAAACCUUUCAAUGACAGUGCACCUGCAUCCAACCAUCUAAAAGAAGAAAUAACAAAUAACUCCUUACCCGCAGCUUUUGCAGCUGUAGCUUCUUGAUAUACAUCUGUCACAAAUAAGAUCUCAGAUGGCUUAUCAACUCCCAAUGAGUUUGUGAUUUCAACAUAACUGCGUGUUUCUCUUUUGUUCCUGCAACCAAGAUAAGGGGGAUUUAAUUUUGCUCAAAAAUUAGGAGACAGCAAGAAAGUUGAGAAAGAAGUGCCAACCCCACUGCAGUGUCGAAAAAGCCAGAUAAAUAUUUUCUUAAAUCCCCAUAAUUUGAAUUUCCAAAAAUAAGCCUCUGUGCCAGCCUGCUACCACUAGAAUAUAUGUACACCUGUCACCAAAUAGAGAAUAACAUUGAUGGUGAAGCUUCUAUGCAUGCUCAACCACUAAGCACUAUCUUGCCAAUAGGACUUUAAAUGUAUUCAUGGAAUCGUAUAACUCUAUGGCAAGAAGAAUGAUGACUGCUUCACGACCUAAAAGCUUUAGCUUUUAGCUUGAUCAUAUCAAGAAAAGUUUUAUUGAAAGUGGUCUAAACAGUCUAGAACUGACAGUUAGUUGUAUUUAUGAUAUUGGUAUAUCGUACAUGUAACACAAACAUUGACAUGGUUAUGUUAGCAAAAAAAAUACCAGAAGCCUUCCAGUAGUAUGUAUCACAAAACAUUCAACAGAAAUAACAUGAUAGCACACACAAAGAGAUGGGAAACACAAAAUUGAGAGCCAUUUCCACAAGAAAAUGAGAAAGAAAAACUAAAAACCUUUGUUCCCAAAGAAUGCCACUUUUCAAGGGCUUCUGGUACAUCAUCAAAAACUUCUCCCACCAAUUCAUUACUGUCAAAUCCGGUUCUCCAUAUAUGACCCUGCAUAAAUAAUUACCAUAUAUGAAAGCCAAGCUCCAUAGCAAAAAUAUUUUUUCUCUGAAUCAUAUUUUGCUUACUUGCAAUUGCUUUAGAGCAGUGAUUUUUCGAUCUGCCUUUAUCAUUGCAUCCACAUUAGCAACUAAAGCUGCUAUUACCUCCUCUUUCCCAGAAUCACCGGGAGGGAUAGGUACAGGACCAGCGACUCCUUGUUUCAGGUCAUCUUCAACCUGCAACAAGCAUUUUGAAAUGAUGAGGCAGAAAAGAUAUGGAUAUUCCAAAAGAGAAUCCAGAUAUGGAUGUUUC